UGAAAUGCGAUGAAGGAGUCCAGUGUUCCUGUUAAACCGCUUCAGAGAGCCGGUGGUUGGUGUGAACCGGCACGGUUUUGGAGCAUGCCUCCCUCCCGAGCAGGUCUUCUGAAAUUCGAUGGCGAAAAAUAGGAAGGCACGGUUAACCCCGUUACAGGUGAAGGUUUGUUAGAACCUCAUGAGGUCCUUAUCGUGAGAUAAGGAUAAAAAUAGGGUGGUAACGCGUGGAGUGUAUCCCUCGCCCCUGUU
rnacentral:ncRNA from 1 species